rnacentral:rRNA from 1 species
CCUACGGGUGGCAGCAGUCGAGAAUCAUUCACAAUGGGGGAAACCCUGAUGGUGCGACGCCGCGUGGGGGAAUGAAGGUCUUCGGAUUGUAAACCCCUGUCAUGUGGGAGCAAAUUAAAAAGAUAGUACCACAAGAGGAAGAGACGGCUAACUCUGUGCCAGCAGCCGCGGUAAUACAGAGGUCUCAAGCGUUGUUCGGAAUCACUGGGCGUAAGGCGUGCGUAGGCUGUUUCGUAAGUCGUGUGUGAAAGGCGCGGGCUCAACCCGCGGACGGCACAUGAUACUGCGAGACUAGAGUAAUGGAGGGGGAACCGGAAUUCUCGGUGUAGCAGUGAAAUGCGUAGAUAUCGAGAGGAACACUCGGGGCGAAGGCGGGUUCCUGGACAUUAACUGACGCUGAGGCACGAAGGCCAGGGGAGCGAAAGGGAUUAGAUACCCGAGUAGUC